CCUACGGGUGGCAGCAGUGAGGAAUCUUGGAUAAUGGUCGGGAGACUGAACCAGCCAAGCCGCGUGAGGGAUGAAGGUACAGAGUAUCGUAAACCUCUUUUUUCAGGGAACAAAGGCGGGGACGCGUCCCCUGAUGAGUGUAUCCGAAGAAAAAGCAUCGGCUAACUCCGCGCCAGCAGCCCCGGUAAUACGGGGGAUGCGUGCGUUAUCCGGUUUUAUUGGGUUUAAAGGGUGGGUAGGCGGUCUGUUAUGUCAGCGGUAAAAUUGAGGGGCUCAACCCCGUCGAGCAGUUGAAACUGGCAGACUUGAGUUGGCGAGAGGUACGCGGAAUGCGAGGUGUAGCGGUGAAAUGCGUAGAUAUAGCGAAGAACUCCGAUGGCGAAGGCAGCGUACCGGCGCCAGACUGACGCUGAGGCACGAAAGCGUGGGGAUCGAACAGGAUUAGAUACCCGAGUAGUC
rnacentral:rRNA from 1 species